UAUUUUAAAGAGAGUUUGAUCCUGGCUCAGGACGAACGCUGGCGGCGUGCCUAAUACAUGCAAGUCGAACGAACGGAGGAAGAGCUUGCUCUUCCAAUGUUAGUGGCGGACGGGUGAGUAACACGUGGGCAACCUGCCUGUAAGUUGGGGAUAACUCCGGGAAACCGGGGCUAAUACCGAAUGAUAAGAUGUGGCGCAUGCCACGCCUUUGAAAGAUGGUUUCGGCUAUCGCUUACAGAUGGGCCCGCGGUGCAUUAGCUAGUUGGUAGGGUAAUGGCCUACCAAGGCAACGAUGCAUAGCCGACCUGAGAGGGUGAUCGGCCACACUGGGACUGAGACACGGCCCAGACUCCUACGGGAGGCAGCAGUAGGGAAUCUUCCGCAAUGGACGAAAGUCUGACGGAGCAACGCCGCGUGUAUGAAGAAGGUUUUCGGAUCGUAA
rnacentral:rRNA from 1 species